GCUGGGAGCGGUGACACACGCCUAUAAUCCCAGCAUCUUGGGAGGCUGAGGCAGGAGGAUCACAAGUUCAAAGCCAGCCUCAGCAACUUAGGCCCUAAGCAACUCAGUGAGACCCUGUCUCUA
rnacentral:sRNA from 1 species